rnacentral:ribozyme from 1 species
GCUUCCCGAUGACGGUGCCACCUCCACGUGGUGGGAAGCGGGCAACGGGUUUGGAUUGGCGCCCGGCUAAGAGCACCG